GGGAGAAAAGCAGAAGUGGGAGAACACUUUGUAUUGAUUGGGGAAGCAGAGAAAAAUGAGGGGAACGAAAAAGGUCUUAACACAAAUUACUCUUAUGCGCUUUGUCAACGUAUGAGAAAAUCAUGUUAUGGGAAGAAAAAAUGUAUGCUUACUAUUGUACUUAACAAUGAAAAAAACUGAAAAGUGAAGAAAGAAAAUUAUUUUUUU
rnacentral:misc_RNA from 1 species